rnacentral:rRNA from 1 species
GGGAACUGAAACAUCUAAGUACCCCGAGGAAAAGAAAUCAACCGAGAUUCCCUAAGUAGCGGCGAGCGAACGGGGACUAGCCCUUAAGCUAGACAACUGGUAGGAGAAGGCUCUGGAAAGUGCCGCCAUAGUGGGUGAUAGCCCCGUACGGGACGGAAGAGAUAAUGGACUUGAGUAGGGCGGAACACGUGAAAUUCUGUCUGAACGUGGGAGGACCACCUUCCAAGCCUAAGUACUACUAUACGACCGAUAGUGCACCAGUACCGUGAGGGAAAGGUGA